AACGAACGCUGGCGGCGUGCUUAACACAUGCAAGUCGAACGAGAAAAUCCUGGCUUGCCAGGAUGAGUAAAGUGGCGCACGGGUGAGUAACACGUGAGUAAUCUGCCCCUAAGUCAGGAAUAACAUUGCGAAAGCGAUGCUAAUACCUGGUAAGCCAACGACUUCUUCGGUAGAUGCGGGAAAAGGUGGCCUCUGACAUAAGCUAUCACUUAGGGAUGAGCACGCGGACCAUUAGCUUGUUGGUAGGGUAAUGGCCUACCAAGGCGAUGAUGGUUAGCUGGCCUGAGAGGGUGGCCAGGCACACUGGAACUGAGACACGGUCAAGACUCCUACGGGAGGCAGCAGUGGGGAAUCUUGCGCAAUGGGGGAAACCCUGACGCAGCAACGCCGCGUGAGUGACGAAGGCCUUCGGGUCGUAAAGCUCUGUCAGAUGGAAAGAAUUAAUUCGCUGAAAAUAUUGGCGAGUGAUGACGGUACCAUCAAAGGAAGCACCGGCUAACUCCGUGCCAGCCGCCGCCGUAAGAC
rnacentral:rRNA from 1 species